rnacentral:rRNA from 1 species
GACGAACGCUGGCGGCGUGCCUAAUACAUGCAAGUCGAGCGGACUUGACAGAGCUUGCUCUGUUCAAGUUAGCGGCGGACGGGUGAGUAACACGUGGGCAACCUGCCCUGCAGAUUGGGAUAACUCCGGGAAACCGGGGCUAAUACCGAAUAACAUUGGAAACCUCAUGGUUUCCUUUUAAAAGGCGGCUUCGGCUGUCACUGCAGGAUGGGCCCGCGGCGCAUUAGCUAGUUGGUGAGGUAACGGCUCACCAAGGCGACGAUGCGUAGCCGACUGGAGAGGGUGAUCGGCCACACUGGGACUGAGACACGGCCCAGACUACUACGGGAGGCAGCAGUAGGGAAUCUUCCGCAAUGGACGAAAGUCUGACGGAGCAACGCCGCGUGAGUGAAGAAGGUUUUCGGAUCGUAAAACUCUGUUGUCAGGGAAGAACAAGUAUGGGAGUAACUGCCCGUACCUUGACGGUACCUGGCCAGAAAGCCACGGCUAACUACGUGCCAGCAGCCGCAGUAACAC